rnacentral:rRNA from 1 species
GGUUGCAAUCGCUUUGUCAUUAAUGCUGACAAUAUGGAAGUCAUUAAUACCAUGAAUAAUGGAGGACAAGCGGCGGCGGCAGUGUUUGCUGAUUGUUAUUUUUUAGCAUGCGAUUUUUCUCUUACUAGUUUUGAGCAUUGUAAUGGGGAAGCGAAUAAGGUAGCUCAUGAACUUGCCAGAUUAGCUAAAUUUUCUGAGACAAGGCAUUGGUUUGAGGAGCUUUUGGUCGAAAUUGUACAACCUCUAAUAGACGAUGUAACCGUCAUUUCUAAUUAA